CUUAUGUACCAUUGUCCAUAAGAGAUUGGUACUCUUCUUCCAUAGCCUUCUCCCACUUGAUUGCAUCUUCACACUUCAUAGCAUCACACAAAGAUAAUGGAACAACAAGAAGAGCAACAUUUGCAUGUUCUUCACUUACUUGAAGGAAGAUGUGAUCAUUCCACUAUUCGCCACGUUGCCUUCUUUCUCUCAAAGGAUAUCUGCUUUCACUGUUAGAAGAACAUUCACCAUGUUGCACUCCAUGUUCUUUUUCAACCUUCUUCUCUCUUAAACCUUGUCGUGUUUCACUCAAUGGUUGAUAUUCUUCAUCAUUAUCAUCAUCCCAAUCUUCAACAUCUUCAUUUCUUUCAUUGUUGGUCCUAUCAAUUGUACGAGCCUUCAUCUUUUCAACCUUCUUUGGCUUUUCAUCUUCAUCAUCUUCAUUGUCUUCAUCUUCUUGUUUCUUUGCUGAAUUCAAAGAUGUGUCCACAAACACACCAUUACUCCCA
rnacentral:lncRNA from 1 species